CCUUCGAUAGCUCAGCUGGUAGAGCGGAGGACUGUAGAUCCUUAGGUCGCUGGUUCAACUCCGGCUUGAAGGA
rnacentral:tRNA from 2 species